GAAGUCCUUUAGGAACCCAUAUACUAUUGAGGAACUGAGGUUUUUUGCAAAUAAGAAAAAUUUGGUGCCGAUAUUCUUUGAUUUGACUCUAGAUGAUUGCCUAGUCAGGGACAUAGUUGAGAAGAGGGGAGAAUUGUGGGAAAAACAUGGAGGUGAGCUAUGGCUUUUGUACGGUGGAUUGGAGAAGGAGUGGAAGGAAGCUGU
rnacentral:misc_RNA from 1 species